UACGGAGGGUGCAAGCGUUGUUCGGAAUCACUGGGCGUAAAGCGCGUGUAGGCGGCCCGUUAAGUCUGAUGUGAAAGCCCGGGGCUCACCCCCGGAAGUGCAUUGGAAACUGAUGGGCUCGAGUCCCGGAGAGGAGGGUGGAAUUCCUGGUGUAGCGGUGAAAUGCGUAGAUAUCAGGAGGAACACCGGUGGCGAAGGCGGCCCUCUGGACGGUGACUGACGCUGAGACGCGAAAGCGUGGGGAGCAAACAGG
rnacentral:rRNA from 1 species